CGGAGCCCGCGCGGCCUGGCUCAACGCCAAGUCCCGGCGGAAGCGCGGCGUCUCUCGCUUCCCGGAGUAAAACUCGAGAUCUGGCUGACAAAGCAAAACCUGAAAACAGCGCUAAAAGGGAAGGUUACAGCCUCAUGGUUCCACUGGGGCUCGAACCCAGGACCUUCUGCGCGUAAAGCAGAUGUGCUAACCGCUACACUAUGGAACCGCGCGCUGCAGUGGCUCUCCAGGGUGAAAUAAGUGCACAUAAAGACCUUUCUCUUUCCAGUGUGGGAGGAGACUGAGAGUUGAUGCCCAGCGACCGCUCACGGAGAGGAACUAUCAGAAGGAUGUCGGGCCGCCAAGCGCAGCUCCCACCCACGCUUCUCCUCGGCUGCACGGGCUCCGCCACUUCUCCGAGAAGGAAGGCGCGGCCGGACCCGCGGCGGGUGUCCCGGGGCAGACGUUGCGCCUGCCUUGAUGUAAGCAGCGCGGAAGGGUCCAACUGCCUGGCUCUGUGGCGCAAUGGAUAGCGCAUUGGACUUCUAGACAGAUGGAGGCAUUCAAAGGUUGUGGGUUCGAGUCCCACCAGAGUCGCUUUUGUUUUGGGAAGUGAAGAAAAUACCCACCUUAACACCUUUAAAAUUCCCCAUCUCACUCGCGUACUAUGAAAAGGAAGGAAACUCAUUCCAACUCCCUGUGGUGUCUUCUCGUAUGAAGUUGUUGGGAGACCUGUCACCCGAGUCUUCCCAGUCGCCUUCAGGGGGCCCCAGGGUUUCCGGUGACUGGAGGCGGAGAAAUUGGCACGACCUGGUUUUGAGAGCUUGAUCUGUGCCAGCCACUGACCAGGCACCGGGGACACAUGGGACUCUCUGCCUCCCAGCAGAAACAUUGGAGGAGGGAAGACUGACCCAAUUAGACAGGUGUUGAAGGUAGGUUGUGGUGAGUGCAGCAGGAGUGACAGCCUCAGAGGCCCCCAGCACGUGUAACCCGUAAGCAGAUCUGGAGAGGAUCAAGCAGGGAUCUCUGGACAAGUCCUCAUCCCUGUCUUUAAAGUUCAGAGGGAACUUCCCAAACCAACGGAACUUGGAAAGUGGGGAGAGGAUGGCAUUUCAAGACUGGGGGGUUGGGGAGGACGGAAGGGAGUGGAAAAAAGCAUUGCAGCUGUUAAAUGACAUGUAAACAGCUCCGGCUUCAGUGAAUCCUCUCUAUGCUGAGUAGUCCGGUUUCACACUGUUAACGCUUGAGGACAUACAGUUUGAGACUUUGGUUCUCAGUGUUUGGUACCUGUCGAUCUAGUCUUGUCUCAGGAGAGCAGGAAGCAGAUCUUCCCCCUCUCUCGCACUCAGCACUGUACUGAGUGGGCCCUGUGAACAGAGCCCUGUUGUAAGAAGCUGAGGUUAGGCCAAAGGCUAAGCCCCCCAGGACUGACUUCCUAGCACAGGCAGCUCCUCUCCUGGGGGGGUAAGGGGGGUGGCAGAAGCUGGUUUUGGUUUUCUUGGUAGAAUCUAGACUUGUCAUCUGAUUCUUAGGGAUCCACAUCCUCAUUUGUGAACGCUACCUUAUCCAUUUGUGGUUUUUCAAUAGAGCGAUUCCCCUCCCAAACCAUGAGACUUGGAGGGACUCCCUCUCAUCCUCUCCUUUCCCCCCCCCCCCAUUCUGGGAAGAAAAUUUGUGCUUUUACCCUUUCUCUGCUGGGAUCUGUAGAAAACACAGGAUCAGGGAUGCCUGGAUUUGAAGGGCUCCCUGUGUGAUCCCAGAAGGAUGGAAUAAUUUAGCAGAUUUCAUUUUUUUCAUUUAUUUUAUUAUGAAAAGAAUGCAUUUUUUUACUCCAAUAACACAGAUGUACCCAAAGGAAAUGGUGAGAGCCUCCUCUUACAAAAUGUAGCCAUUUUUAUUGAACUGUCUUCUAUCCUUAAACAUCUCAUGUAUAGGUAAACCCCAAAUAUACAAAAUGUGUGAUUAAAGAAUGUAUAUUCAUA